rnacentral:tRNA from 1 species
GGUGGGGUGGCGGAGCGGUUACGCGUGCGCCUGCAGAGCGCAUUCACAAGGGUUCGAAUCCCUUCCCCACCU